rnacentral:rRNA from 1 species
AGUGAACGCUGGCGGUAGGCCUAACACAUGCAAGUCGAACGGCAGCACAGUAAGAGCUUGCUCUUACGGGUGGCGAGUGGCGGACGGGCGAGGAAUACAUCGGAAUCUACUUUUUCGUGGGGGAUAACGUAGGGAAACUUACGCUAAUACCGCAUACGACCUACGGGUGAAAGCAGGGGAUCUUCGGACCUUGCGCGAUUGAAUGAGCCGAUGUCGGAUUAGCUAGUUGGCGGGGUAAAGGCCCACCAAGGCGACGAUCCGUAGCUGGCCUGAGAGGAUGAUCAGCCACACUGGAACUGAGACACGGUCCAGACUCCUACGGGAGGCAGCAGUGGGGAAUAUUGGACAAUGGGCGCAAGCCUGAUCCAGCAAUACCGCGUGGGUGAAGAAGGCCUUCGGGUUGUAAAGCCCUUUUGUUGGGAAAGAAAAGCAGCAGGUUAAUACCCCGCUGUUCUGACGGUACCCAAAGAAUAAGCACCGGCUAACUUCGUG